rnacentral:tRNA from 1 species
AGAGAGGUGCUCGAGUGGUUUCAAGAGGUACGCCUGGAAGCGUAUAUACCGCAAGGUAUCGGGUUCGAAUCUCUUCCUCUCUG